rnacentral:rRNA from 1 species
CAGUAGCCGCGGUAAUACGUAGGUGGCAAGCGUUGUCCGGAAUUAUUGGGCGUAAAGGGCUCGCAGGCGGUUUCUUAAGUCUGAUGUGAAAGCCCCCGGCUCAACCGGGGAGGGUCAUUGGAAACUGGGAAACUUGAGUGCAGGAGAGGAGAGUGGAAUUCCACGUGUAGCGGUGAAAUGCGUAGAGAUGUGGAGGAACACCAGUGGCGAAGGCGACUCUCUGGUCUGUAACUGACGCUGAGGAGCGAAAGCGUGGGGAGCGAACAGGAUUAGAUACCCCCGUAGUCCCUGUCUCUUAUAC